UCAGUACUCAAUGUGUACUUAGUCUUUACAAUAAGGUUCAUAAAGUACAGGUUUCUGAAAAGUAUGUUCAGACUACGAGGUAGCAAGCGGAGUUUUGCUAUUUGAAAAGGGAGUUUUGCUAUUUGAAAAGGGAGUUUUGCUAUUUGAAAAGGGAGUUUUGCUAUUUGAAAAGGGAGUUCUGCUAUUUGAAAAGGGAGUUUUGCUAUUUGAAAAGGGAGUUUUGCUAUUUGAAAAGGGUGUUUUGCUAUUUGAAAAGGGAGUUUUGCUAUUAGAAAAGGGAGUUUUGCUAUUUGAAAAGGGAGUUUUGCUAUUUGAAAAGGGAGUUUUGCUAUUUGAAAAGGGAGUUUUGCUAUUUG